rnacentral:misc_RNA from 1 species
GAUGAAGAACGUAGUGAAUUGCGAUAAGUAAUGUGAAUUGCAGAUUUUCAGUGAAUCAUCGAAUCUUUGAACGCACAUUGCGCCCGCCAGUAUUCUGGCGGGCAUGCCUGUCUGAGCGUCAUUUCAACCCUCAUGCCCCUAGGGCGUGGUGUUGGGGAUCGGCCAAAGCCCGCGAGGGACGGCCGGCCCCUAAAUCUAGUGGCGGACCCGUCGUGGCCUCCUCUGCGAAGUAGUGAUAUUCCGCAUCGGAGAGCGAUGAGCCCCUGCCGUUAAACCCCCAACUUUCCAAGGUUGACCUCAGAUCAGGUAGGAAUACCCGCUGAACUUAAGCAUAUCAAUAAGCGGAGGA